CAUUGCAGCACCCCAUAGCACCCUCAACCUGAAACCACCACCCCCCCGCAACAGCCGUGCAGUGCAGCCCUGGAUAGGACACUUAGCCCACCUCACUGUUGCCAGCAAUACAGUCUGGGAUAGUUUCCCCAACAGGCUCCCCGCCGGGGGCAGUGCAGCCCCGGUUAGGGCCCCCAAACCACCCCCGGGUGCAGGCAGCACAGCCCCAGAUAGCACACCUAACCAGCCACCCAAGGUGGGCAGUGACGCCUGAGAUAGGGCCCCCAACCCGUCCCAGGCCAAGGGCAGUGCAGCCCUGGAUAGCGCACUUACCCCGACGCUUUUCUACACUCUGGCCGGUUGCAGUGUCCAUCGCUGCCACCAACCGCAGCGGGCAAGGCAAGCCAGCGAGGCAAGGCGAGGCAAGCCGGCGAGGUGGUGAGCCAGGGAGGCCAGCCACAGCCCGGUAGGCUGCAGCCUCCAGCAUGCAGUGGCUGGCACCUCCUACUCCAAGCUGGCAAUGGAGCAGCUAUGAAGUCAGAUGCCGACGAGGCUGGAAUAGUGCAACUCUAGCUCUUAACAUGCUUUAUAUACCGAGAUUAUAAACUACAUGUUCUGAUUGGAUGAGAGGAAAACACUAGGCCUACUCUGAUUGGACUUUAUUGUCACGUUCUGAUUGGUUAGCCUAAGACUUGUUCUGAUCCAAUCAGAACAUGAAAAUAACGUCCAAUCAGAGUAGGCGUAGAUGUUUCUCUCAUCCAAUCAGAACGUGAAGUCCGAGAACCAGGCCUGCACAACCCCCCAGUAUAUAAGGUAUGCUAAGGGGGCGUCGCGCUGUUGCAGGCUAUCGUGUGUUAACCUGUACUUCUGCCGCAGAGUUUGGAGAAAGCGGCAGCAGAUUGUGCUGCCGCAGGCUGGAGCCUGGAACCUGGAGCCCUGGAGCCUUGAAUGGUGUGUGGUGGCAAUGGAGAGAGGCAGCUGGCAGUGACAGCUGCUCCGUGCUUGGCUACAGGAAGGAAAGAAGGAGAAAGCACCUACCAUAGGCUGGAGGCUAGAGCCUGCAGGACUGCGGCUGGCCUCGCUGGCUCGCCUCCCUGGCUGGCCUCGCUGUGGUUGGUGGCAGCGACGGAUACUGCAGCUGGCCAGAGUGUAGAAAGGCAAUGGGGAGCGCAGUCCUGGUGGGCCCAGCGGUUCCUGUGGAUUGGAGCCAGGCAGUGUGAUGUUACCAGUCACCACUCCAGGUCCCAGUUCCUGGCCCGCUUGAGCCAAAAGGAGAGGCUGGACUUUGGAGGGUGGAUAUGAGUGCCUUCACUGAGACUGGCCCCUGCCACCCAGUGGCCAGGAUGACAAGGUGAGGCUCUAACGCUAUCAGUCUCUGCAUUCUCCUCUAGGCUUUUUUGGCUGUGUGUGUCCAGCUGUUCCAUGCCAGGAGGAGGAGGAGUUACAUGCUGGAAGCUUGCAGAUAGCCUGGGGCUGCUGCUCGCCUUGCUGCGGUUGGUGGCAGCUACCGAGACUACCUCGCACCAGAGCGAAUGCAUUCCUUCUACUUACAAACAAAAAAGUUAACUAAAAUAGCCUGAG
rnacentral:lncRNA from 1 species